AUGACACAUAUGUGACUAUGGUAAUGGUUGCUUAAAGUUGUUUUUCAGGACUAUGGGGGCAGCUCUUGUCCAGUUCGAACCCGUUGAGAUCAAUGACCCUUCAACUGAACCUGUGCAAAUGCUGGAGAAGUGACCUUUUGAUGUCAGAGGGCCCAAAAACUCCCUGGGAUCAUGAUCCAUCAUAACAGCGACUGGCUUACUACGCAUGGGCAGAACGGGACAGUUUCUGCACUGCAAUUUCCAGAUCCUUGGAAACCUCGCAGUCCCGGGCAAACAGAGACAGCCGGUCACCCAAGAUUUAAGACACUAGUCAUCGAAUGCUCUGUUCCUUGGAGCUGAAGACAUUUUCACGGAUACAUGUGUAUGGACAGCUGCAUUUUUAAUGCGUAUUGGAUCAAGACAUACCUACAGCUGUCCCGCUCAUUGCAAGCAUGACAUCGUGAUGAUUUUCCAAUGCCAUUAAAUCAUAUUGUUCAAAAGACAUGUGAAUAGUUCAUGCAAAGUGCUUUAAAAGCGUAGCUGGAACUGUGAAUAAGCCACAUUAGUCCAGGUCUCUGUACCAUUAGGGCCGAACCUGGAAAUCAAACUCUGCUGCUGCCUGAGCGUUCCAAAGAGAGAUGUUAUCUUCAGUAACCUGAUUAACGUUCAGAAGGAAAAGAAAGCCAACCCGUGUCAUUCAGCAUCUUGGCCUUUCACGCUGGGACGAUAGGGGAAAG